UCCACUCCUCCUUACGCCUUCAUGGCGUAGUGUUUACUUAGGUAAGCACAGUGACAACUUUAUGUGGCAUUAUAGUACCUCGGAAGAUAGUACUCCUCUUCUUGGGUGCUUUGUGAUUAGCGUAUGUAUUUGUCUCUGUUGUGAUAAGUUUCGCUUGGCACAAUUUCUUGAAAUACAACUGAACAAUAUAAUUUCACAUAUCAAACCUUGCCUACUUGCAACAAGGUAAGGGUUUGUUUGUAAUACACUUGUUUUGUGAAUUUAUUGCUGUGAGAACAAAUAUUUUUGAACAAUAUGCACAUCUACUAUAAAAGAUAUUUCUACAUGAUAUACAAUACAUUCUUUUUGUAAGUGGAUCAGAAAUAUAUAAUUUUAGGCAUCAAAUUAGUGUAUUUGUGGCACAAAUGUAUGACCAUGGAUGUACAAUUUUUUCACGUUUCCUGUACAGUUUAAUAAUAUGAGGAACAUCCUGAAUUACAGCACUGUAUAUUUCUUUAGAAAAUUAUAUUUUUUCCUGGUUUUACACCUUUAUUUAAUGCAGAUAUCAAUUUUCAACUACAAUUAUGCACUUUUAUUAUUCAUCCUGGCAUGUAUGCACUGUCGGUGGACCCCCCAGUGGAUCUAGGUGACCUAGAGUGAAGUCAGCUGAUGGCAUUGACGCUUGGAGACUCACUGUUGCUGUGUGCGCUCCAGGUGAGCUGUCUUGAGAAGAUCCUGUUAGAGAUGGUGCCUGUGUUCAUGGAGCCGCACGGCUAGAGGUCUGUGUGUUCUGCCAAUGUAACAUCUGCCACAUCCACAGCAAAUGCUGUAGAUGCACUGUGCUGUCUGUAGCUGAUCACUUUCUGGCCUGGUUUUCAUGAGUGAACACAUUCCCGAAGCAUAAGCUCUCAACAACAGGACAUCCAUUGGUAGGUAAUAGACCAAUAAACAUGCAUUCUUAACAACAGAAGAUGAUGUUUUCUCUGGGGUCUGUGCCAAGGAGUUAUAAGAUGGCACAGUCAGUCACAGUUCAGAGAGGGAGUACAACAGAGUAGUGGAGGAGUUUAGUUGGAAGUCAGAAUAGUUCCCAUUGAGUGUCCAGUUGGAAGAAGACGAGAGUGUGUCAGAUAGUGAUUUGAGAACUGUUGUAACCAGUUGUACAAAGGUCCAAUAAAUUCGAUCAUCAAAUCCAAAACCAGUCUUAUCAGCAUGCAAACCCCAGAUAUGUGACAAUAUUGUUUGAAUUUCAUUCUCUUUUGGCCAGACACAUACUUUGAAAUAAAAAAAAAACACAUAAAAUCGAGAUGUCCAUGAAGAAUGAACUAAUGAAGUUAUUUAAAACUUAAGAAAAAGUCAUAAUAAAUAAAUUUCCAUGUUAAUAGUUAAUUAAGCUUUAGUAUAAGACCAAUCAAUAUGUAAGCACCACAAAUAAUUUCAUGAAGGAAAGUACUUGUACUUCUUGCAAAGCUAAUACUUAUUCAACUAGUCUACAAAAAUGUUCUGUCUUUUAUGUAAUCUGAAGGUUCAGUACUGUAUCCACAAGAGCAUGCUAGUAAGCGCCAUACAUACAUAUCCCUAAAUAAGGCUGUGCCUUUAUGCAAAACCAUGCUUCUUUGAACAGGUUUACAAGAAAAAAAGCAUGCUAAUGCUUUCAAUCCUAGUGUCCAUGCUCUGCAACACAACUAAUCUAUAUAAAUAAAUACAAAAACAGAAGUUGGUGCAGAAUUUGUAAAUGUGCUGCUCUGCAGUAUCAAAUAUUAGUAUGUUAUCAUGGCCUCAUAAAUGUGUAUUUAUAAAACACUCCUUCAGAGUAAGUAAUCAACUGUACCUUUUUCAUAACAUUUCUACACAGCUUUCAACCCAAUUUUUAGACAGCAGAAGAUAAA